CUCACAAUGGAUUCAAAUUGUAGAAUAAUUCAGUUAAAAUAAACCUGGGCUGAGCUAUCAUUUAUGUUUGACAGUUUUGACAUAGAAUAACUGAUUAAGGAUGAAUUGAUAUAUAAAUAAAAAUAUAUUGCUGCUCCUUUUUGUUUGUAAGUGCCAAAGAACACAUUUAUUUUAUACUGGGAGUGGGGAGUCCAUAAGUGCUUUCCUGAACACUUAGAUGUGAAGGCCUUAUUUCUAUAACAUAGUCUGUAACACAGAUGCACUAGUCUGUAGAAAAAAACAAUUUCACUCUAUUUCUCUAUCCCACAAUAAAAUAUCUAGCAGAACACAGAGAAAAGGUUAAUGAUUAAUAUUAAAUGUUCUACUCUACCUAAAAACUACUGUUUAAUGCAAUAUAAAGAAAUCAAAUUGCAAACAGCUAUUUACUUAAUGUUUCUUGUUUGCCUAACUUGAGCUUACCCAUCCUUAAGAGCCUGUAACAGAAGAGAUUCUUUCUGUCUCCUUACCAAACCUCUGCUGCCUAGGCUACCAGAAGACCAGAUCGAACUCAGGACAUUGAGCUUGGAGGCAGGCAUGGUGCCACUGAGCUACAUCCCGGCCCAUAGGUUAUUCUCAGCGGUGUUUGGAUUCUUAGAUGAGAUUUGCCAGACUGGGAACUAAAGCACUUAGAACACUUUGGCAAGGCUUUGGAGCUGGAUUUCACUGUGCAACUGUGAAGCUGUUCUUGCAAAGGUUUGACAGGAAGAGACUUCAGUGCUGAGCCAGAAAAUAAGUGCAUCCAAAGAAGAGCUGACCCAUUAUUCAAGCAUCUCCAGUCUUCUUUGCUACAAAGAAGAUACUACACACCUGCUGCUACAGUUGUCUCUGGUUAAAAAACUCUUCCCUUCAAUUUAGGAAGCCUGACCAAGAGAUAAAUUAUUUCUCCUUGUCAAUGAACACACAUUUUUUAUUUGCUUAAUCCGAUACAAUUUCUUUCUCCUCAUCUCAUUUUUGAUUUUCCUUUCUUGGAGAAAAAUGAGAGAGGAAAAUGAGGUUUAGAUUAAGUAAACAGAUGCCAAACAUUUUGUGAGGCUGUUAUACAUUAGAUGUCCCAGCUACAACCUUUAUCUGUCUUUAUAACAUUGUAUUCAUGUGAAUAUUGAGUUACAUGGAUUCAUUUUGUAUGCCAUCGUAAAGCUGCAUCUUGAAGUCCUCUUCUCUUGGGAGAUCUUUGUGCAAUUUCCUUAUCAAUGUACAGCACUACUGAAAUAACUAUUUUAGGUGUUCUCUCAUGGACAGAUGACCCAGGACAGACACAGUCAUCUCACUGUGCUUUGUGUGAUUCAUCUGCAGUUCAAUUCUUUGGAGUUUCAGCUCUUAGCACAAUACCACUUCCUGUUUUUGAGAGGAGAAAUGGCAUAAAAAAUCACAUAAAAAGUCUUAUGAGGCCCUUGGACAUCAAAUAACUCUUGCAAAACAAAAUUUUAAUAAAUUAAGUGUAAAUGAAUCAGAAACAUGUGGGUUGAAUUUCCCUGGAAAUACCCAAGGGCUUAAAAAUUAAAAAAAAAAUUAAAAAGAAUUGCUUGGCAAAGAAUCUUGUGCAUUUUACUGAGCUCAAGCCUUUUGAAAAAGAGCAAAAGAAAACAGCCUUGAUUUGGUUGACUGAAUUAAGAAAACACUCCUGUACCCUUUAUUUAUUUUUAAUUCUACAAAAGUCAGAUUGAAGGUAUAAUUACGUUUCUUUUUGGGUGCCAAAUACAUCGAUGUUAGAGCAUUUUUCAAGUACAGUAACAUUUUGACUAACCAGAACCUCAAGUCAUGGUUGUCUUUUCAAAGGCAAUAGUGGCAGGCAAAGAAAAACUAAAAACUGUAGUUCAAGUAAAGGUCAUUAGAGCUGAGGUAAAGAAAACAUGGUGAUCAUUCAGUUCACUAACCAAGAGGAUCCUAACUGUAAAGGAACCCUGAGCCUUGGUAGUUAGCCACUGAACAAAGCACAAAAAGCAGUCAUGUGAAGACCAAAGCUCAGAAUGUAAGGAAAGUUGAAAUAAGUGGAAAAAUCUGUCUACUGAACGGAAGCUCUGGAAUAAAAGGAAAUGGCUGACCAAGGAAAAUAAAAGUUGCAAGAACUGAAAAAUUUAAAUAGCAGCUAGCAAUGGCCAAAAUGAAGCACAGGCAUAGGGAUUUGAAGGUUGGACACAGAAAAGCAAAACAAAGACCAAUAUUCACACCCCAAACCGUACUGUGAACACAAAG
ensembl:lncRNA